UAGCCCUCCAAAUAGGCAUAACUUUUAACUCAGUUAAGUUUCGAGUUGGUAAAAGAUUUUUUAAGGCCCCCCCUAUGGCAAUCGAAGCAGCCCUGACAAGAAAAACGAGAUAGUGUGCGGUUGAUCGGUCAUGCAAUCUGUCAAAUAUUCAAAAAAUAAAGUUUGUUUACAUUUUGAACCGAACGAUAGCUCUCACGAUGUACAACGGCGAAUGAUUAAAAAAAGGCUACAUCGGUGAUGAAAAUGUUGUGUGUAAUGUGUAAAAUAGACAGCCUUAAAUUUAUAAAUGGUGGUAGAAUCGACUUCGCACGCCUGAAAGCUGUUUAGGGUAAGUAAAACAAAGCUAAUAUUUGUAAUAUUAAAUCAAUUAAAGCGGUAUUUUCUAUGCAGCUGUUGUGCAACCGUGUUGAGCCGGCGAUAGUUAGAAAGAGGGAAGAAAGAAUGCCCGCAAUCAAACUAAACGAUGUUUGAUCAUGGAAAACAAGUUAAAAAGCAUACAAAGCUCGCUCGCCGUUGGACGCUUGGACAAUUACAUUAACAAUCAUUCGGUGAUCAGUUUGCGAAACGUCUUGCCGCACGCCUGGUACAGGCCCUUCUUGUCCGCGUCGGUAUCGAUCGUGGACUGAUCGUUCGGCAGCGUCAGCAUCAUCACCUUCAUCUGCGGGUAGUUGUGGUACGGCACAGUUCCGGUCGUCAUCUCGAUCGCGGUAAUGCCGAACGACUAGAAGCCGUAUCCGUGGUCCCGCUCCGUCUCCUCCAGCGCCAUCCAGCACGACGUGCCGAUAAACGUGUGGUACACCUUCUGCCGCGACAUGUCUCCAUCGGUGGCGAGCCACGCGCUCAUCCGCUAUAUUUAAGGAGCCGUCGUCGCCGGGCAGUAUGAUGGCCACCUUGAUGUCCACGUAAUGAGCAAUGCGAAUUGUGCUCUCAAUUGGCAAGCGCACAGCAAGAAACGUUACCGACAGUCUUUGUCGCCGUGAAAAUGCUUCUAAUGCACGGGUGAGUUGCAUUAUAACUACAAGCAUACGUUUUUUUUUUCCUUUCUUUAGUUUCAGCUAAUGCCAGACGAACGAUCGAAUGACUGUUGCUUCGGAAGGGAGGUCGCAUUACAGAUACCGACUUGGACAUGAUCCAGUCGGUCGGUUGCAGUUGCUCCAUGGUGCUUCGGAUAAGGCAACAACGGAGAAGCGCUCCGGACGCUCCGGAGAAGCUGAUCGAGAUCGGCGAAGCGGUGUAGUGUUGUGAUAUAGUGAUUGUGUGUACAUUUAAGGUGUAAAGGGUGAUUAAUGCUAGUAACGUUGUGUAAUGUUAUGCAGAACAAAAUGCAGCAUAAAUGGCGAUGAGCCAGCAUUGUUUAAAGGUGCCGGAUGUUAUACGUUAGAGCCGUUCUUUGUGGUGUGAUGUGUUAACAUAUUAAACCAGUAUUAGGAUUAGGAUAUAAUUAGGAUUUAAACCAGUGCCGUUGAAUAAAAUAGUGUACAACAGGUUAGAAAACAUUCGGUGUAUUUUGUUUUGUUUUUUUGAAGCUCUUUCGAUUACCUAUUACGGAAGCAAAUAUGUUUCACUAAUGUGCAAAAGGUAAGGAAUCAGUGAUCGCGUUGGUAGGUAAUUGCUCGUUUACGGUGUUUCUCCAUUUGUAUUUAUUGUUUCUCGCCCGCUGUGUUUGCUUCCCCAUUCCUCAUAAUGGUGCGUACGUUUCGUUAACAAUGUGCAUUAGAUGGUGAUGUUACAUGAUAAGUAAAUGUUGAGCAUGUUGGCGGGUUAAAAAAAAUAUUUUACUUGUCCUGCUCCGUUGGUUGUCUGGUUGUCUGGUUGUCUGGCUGGCUGGCUGGCUGGUUGGAUGGCAGAAUGGCUCACUGGCUGGUUAGUGCAGACUAUGAUCGGAUGCGCAUUUCCCUACGCCGUAGUGCCGGGUGCAUCAUACGUCGGUGUUGGGUUGCUGUUACUGGGCCGAGCGGAUGCGCGUGCACACGUGGGAAUAAACGACAUGCAACCGUGGUGAUAUCACAGAAACUAUAUAUUUUGUUCUAUUUCAUCACAAAAAAAUUCUUGCCAUUAAUUUUUCUUUUUAGGUAUUUUAUAUUGCAUCGGUACGAUUAUCGUGUUCAAAGGCUUUAUCGAGAAAUGCCAAUACAUAAAUGGGUUAGUCCGUUUAUAUCGGUUUCUCAAACCCCUGCAAGCAAUGGUCAAUCAUUUCAGUCUUAAACUUUUGACGAACGAAUGCCUGGUCGCUAGCUGUAGCUUCCCAUCGAUGUAGGCACCCGAUCUUCGAGAUUUUACUUCACCUGAUCUAGCCAUCGAACUCGCUGUGCUUCCUUGCUUCUAGUACCGAACUGAGAGCCGCUCGAACACCUAGCUGCUGGGGCACGAGGAUGCCUUCUUCACAACAUGCUCCAGCCAUCGCAAACAGCCAUGUCCGGUGCGCCAUACGGCUUCAGUAAGCUCGUGGAUGAUCAUUCGCAUCCACACCCCAUGCUCGAAUUCACCGCCAAAGAUGAUCCGGAGGAUGCGUCGGCCAUCGUGUUUCGCCGCUGUCCUUUGCAUGCUGUAAAGAAACAUACCUAUUCCUCGUCGGCCAAUGGUGCAGCACGAGCGCAACGUGAUACAUCGUGACAUCAUCCGGAAAACUUGCAGCUGGGGCACGGUGGUGAUCUGAAGAUAGCUGAUUUCGGUUGGUCCGUGUACGAGCCGACCUUGUUCCGGUACGACGCGGUGCGUUUCGCACGACUAUUUAUCGCCCGAGAUGGUACAUGGUCAGCCGCACACAAAAACUGUCGAUCUAUGGAAUUUGAGCGUGCUGGCGUACAAGCUGCUGUGCGGUAAGGCCCCGUUUUUGGCGACCACGUAUGAAGAAUCGUACCGUAAAAUUAUGAAGCUGCAGUUUAAGAUGCCGCCAGAUGUAACGAAGCCGGCGGUCCAUCUGAUCUCGCGACUGUUCGUUAAGGAUCUGGCCAGCCGUAUGCCGCUGAAACAUGUUGCGACCAUCCCUGGAUUCUGCUGCAUGUGCACAAAAAGUAAAUAGGUACUGGUGCUACCAUGUACCAUUUAUCGUUAUGUUCUAACUAAGUAUGUUUAUAAGAUACCUGUACCUUUUAGUUUUUUAAACCCUAUCUCUUAUAAGAAGUAGUGGUAUUUGAAUUUAAUAUGAACAAGGCAAGUGUAAUGAUAAGUAAUGAUAAUUGUUAUUUGUGUGUUCACUCAAUUGUUAUUAUACUUUCUUCAUGUUCAACAUCUAUUAUUAUUUCAAUUAUUAACAAUAAAAUAUGGCAAAAUAUUUUUUAAGCUAUAGAUCGUCUUUGUAUUGAAUGAGUGCAAUUGAUGGGUGAAUGAAUGCAAACAUUAUGAUGAUCAAGACCGUGACCAGCCUCUCGGGGUGCCUUUGGUGUCUCAGUUCUGUAUAGAGGAGAGCGUAGAAGGGUAUGGCUAUAUUCUUUUCGGCGCUGCCAUGCACCUUUCGGUGCAACGAUAAGAUAGAGUUAAUGUUUUUUUGCACCACUGAAGCACACACCAACCAGCACACACCAACCAGUGAUUGACUAUCCGGUUAGGUGAUACGAAUAAGUCUUGUAAGCAUUUAUACAUAACGUCAGCAUGACCACGUUUGUCGGCUGUAGCGGAAAUAAAGCAUAACAAUUAUUUAUUUGUUACGAUAUAAAUAGGAAGAAAGUGCAACGCUGUGCGGUCCCGUGAUACAGUCAUCAAUUCGUACGACCUAAUAACAUGCCUGUCAUGUGUUCAAAACUCAUACGGUCCGUCCCCCCGUAGCAAGGAUCAAUUAUCCUCAACUAAACUAAACUAAACUAAACUAUCCGGCUGCGUGGUACCAAAUCAGUUUCGAAAGCCUGUACAGGUCGACAUGUUCGCAUCGUUAAGCCAAAAAGAAAGAAAGUGCUGCGUUGUCGUGAUCGAUACGGUAAAAGUGCUUCCGUCUUAACAGAAGGUGCUCUAUCAUCUACCAAAAUUGUUGUGUGAGAAAUGGAACUAGCUUGCAAAAAGGUUUGGUCAGUCUGAUUCAUG